AUUGAACGCUGGCGGCAGGCCUAACACAUGCAAGUCGAGCGGAGCGGCGGACGGGUGAGUAAUGCCUAGGAAUCUGCCUGGUCGUGGGGGAUAACGUCCGGAAACGGGCGCUAAUACCGCUUCCUCUCACAUUCGCCUGGGUCGGAUUAGCUAGUGGGUGGGGUAAAGGCCUACCAAGGCGACGAUCCGUAACUGGUCUGAGAGGAUGAUCAGUCACACGGGAACUGAGACACGGUCCAGACUCCUACGGGAGGCAGCAGUGGGGAAUAUUGGACAAUGGGCGAAAGCCUGAUCCAGCCAUGCCGCGUGUGUGAAGAAGGUCUUCGGAUUGUAAAGCACUUUAAGUUGGGAGGCGUUACCAACAGAAUAAGCACCGGCUAACUUCGUGCCAGCAGCCGCGGUAAUAC
rnacentral:rRNA from 1 species